rnacentral:snRNA from 1 species
GUACGUUCAUGCAUGCAUUAUUUUUACGAUAAAGAGAAGAUCAGCAUGGCCCCUGCACAAGGAUGACACGCAAAUUCGUGAAGCGUUCCAUACCUUU